GGCUGUUGUUAGGCGAAGUUGGUUUGUGACCGUCACUAACGGGCAGUGUUAAUACGGUUGCUCGUUUUGGCGAUCGCAAAAUGAACUCGCUUGAC
rnacentral:pre_miRNA from 1 species